GCCCAGACUCCUACGGGAGGCAGCAGUGGGGAAUAUUGCACAAUGGGGGAAACCCUGAUGCAGCGACGCCGCGUGAGCGAUGAAGUAUUUCGGUAUGUAAAGCUCUAUCAGCAGGGAAGAAAAUGACGGUACCUGACUAAGAAGCCCCGGCUAACUACGUGCCAGCAGCCGCGGUAAUACGUAGGGGGCAAGCGUUAUCCGGAUUUACUGGGUGUAAAGGGAGCGUAGACGGCUGUGCAAGCCAGAUGUGAAAGCCCGGGGCUCAACCCCGGGACUGCAUUUGGAACUGUGUGGCUGGAGUGUCGGAGAGGCAGGCGGAAUUCCUAGUGUAGCGGUGAAAUGCGUAGAUAUUAGGAGGAACACCAGUGGCGAAGGCGGCCUGCUGGACGAUGACUGACGUUGAGGCUCGAAAGCGUGGGGAGCAAACAGGAUUAGAUACCCGCGUA
rnacentral:rRNA from 1 species